UGGGGAAUCUUCCGCAAUGGACGAAAGUCUGACGGAGCAACGCCGCGUGAGUGAAGACGGCCUUCGGGUUGUAAAGCUCUGUGAUCCGGGACGAAAGAGCCUGAGGUAAAUAGCCUAAGGAAGUGACGGUACCGGAAAAGCAAGCCACGGCUAACUACGUGCCAGCAGCCGCGGUAAUACGUAGGUGGCAAGCGUUGUCCGGAAUUAUUGGGCGUAAAGCGCGCGCAGGCGGCUUACUAAGUCCAUCUUAAAAGUGCGGGGCUUAACCCCGUGAUGGGAUGGAAACUUGAAAGCUGGAGUAUCGGAGAGGAAAGUGGAAUUCCUAGUGUAGCGGUGAAAUGCGUAGAGAUUAGGAAGAACACCGGUGGCGAAGGCGACUUUCUGGACGAAAACUGACGCUGAGGCGCGAAAGCGUGGGGAGCAAACAGG
rnacentral:rRNA from 1 species